rnacentral:rRNA from 1 species
GAAUUUUGGGCAAUGGGCGAAAGCCUGACCCAGCAACGCCGCGUGAAGGAUGAAGUAUUUCGGUAUGUAAACUUCGAAAGAAUGGGAAGAAUAAAUGACGGAACCAUUUAUAAGCUCCGGCUAACUACGUGCCAGCAGCCGCGGUAAUACGUAGGGAGCAAGCGUUGUUCGGAUUUACUGGGCGUAAAGGGCGCGUAGGCGGCGCGGUAAGUCAGCUGUGAAAUCUCCGAGCUUUACUCGGAACGGCCAGCUGAUACUGCAGUGCUAGAGUGCAGAAGGGGCAAUCGGAAUUCUUGGUGUAGCGGUGAAAUGCGUAGAUAUCAAGAGGAACACCUGAGGUGAAGACGGGUUGCUGGGCUGACACUGACGCUGAGGCGCGAAAGCCAGGGGAGCAAACGGG